AGACAGAGGUGGCAAGCGUUAUCCGGAUUUAUUGGGUUUAAAGGGUUCGUAGGCGGAUCAAUAAGUCAGUGGUGAAAGCCUGUGGCUCAACCAUAGAACUGCCAUUGAUACUGUUGAUCUUGAGUACACUUGAAGUGGGCGGAAUGCGUCAUGUAGCGGUGAAAUGCAUAGAUAUGACGCAGAACACCGAUUGCGAAGGCAGCUCACUAAAUUGUAACUGACGCUGAGGAACGAAAGCGUGGGGAGCGAACAGGAUUAGAAACCCUAGUAGUCC
rnacentral:rRNA from 1 species